GCCCUCACGUGUCCCACCAUGGCUUCACGUGUCCUACCAUGACCUCACGUGGCCCACCACAGCUUCACGUGUCCUACCAUGGCUUCACGUGUCCUAUCAUGGCUUCACAUGUUCUACCAUGGCUUCAUGUGUCCCACCACCACCUCGCGUGUCCCACCAGGGCCUCACGUGUUCUACCAUGGCUUCACAUGUCCUACCGUGGCCUCACAUGUUCUACCACGGCUUCACAUGCCCCACCACGGCUUCAUGUCUCAACACCAUGGCUUCACAUGUUCUACCAUGGCUUCACGUGUCCUACCAUGGCUUCACAUGUCCCUCCACCACCUCACAUGUCCUACCAUGGCUUCACAUGUUUACCAUGCCCUCACGUGUCCCACCAUGGCCUCAUGUGUUCUACCAUGGCUUCACGUGCCCUAUCAUGGCUUCACGUGUCCCACCACGGCUUCACGUGUCCUACCAUGGCUUCACGUGUUCUACCAUGGCUUCACGUGUCCCAUCAUGGCUUCACAUGUUCUACCAUGGCCUCACGUGUUCUACCACGGCUUCACAUGUUCUGCCAUGGCCUCACAUGUCCCACCAUGGCUUCACGUGUCCCACCACGGCUUCAUGUGUCCCACCACAGGCUCACGUGUCCCACCAUGGCCUCAUGUGUCCCACCAUGGCCUCAAGUGUCCUACCAUGUCCUCACGUGUCCCACCACAGCCUCACGUGUCCCACCACGGCCUCACGUGUCCCACCACGGCUCCACGUGUCCCACCACGGCCUCACGUGUCCCACCACGGCCCCACGUGUCCCACCACGGCCUCACGUGUCCCACCAUGGCCUCCCAUGUCCCACCAUGGCCUCCAAUGUCCCACCAUCGCCUCCCAUGUCCUACCAUGGCCUCCCAUGACCUACCACGACUUUACGUGUCCCACUACAGCUUCACGUGUCCCACCACGGCCUCACGUGUCCCACCACAGCCUAACGUGUCCCACCACAGCCUCCCAUGUCCUACCACGGCUUUACAUGUCCCACCACGGCCUCAGGUGUCCCACCAUGGCCCCACAUGUCCCAGCACGGCUCCACGUGUGCCACCACGGCCUCACAUGUCCCACCAUGACCUCACGUGUCCCACCACCACCUCACGUGUGCCACCAUGGCCUCCCAUGUCCCACCAUGGCCUCCCAUGACCUACCACGGCUUUCCAUGUCCCACCACGGCCCCACGUGUCCCACCACGGCCCCACGUGUCCCACCACGGCCUCACGUGUCCCACCAUGGCCUCCCACGUCCCACCAUCGCCUCCAAUGUCCCACCAUGGCUUUACGUGUCCCACUACAGCUUCACGUGUCCCACCAUGGCCUCACGUGUCC
rnacentral:lncRNA from 1 species